AGAGUGAACGCUGGCGGUAGGCCUAACACAUGCAAGUCGAACGGCAGCACAGUGGUAGCAAUACCAUGGGUGGCGAGUGGCGGACGGGUGAGGAAUACAUCGGAAUCUACCUUUUCGUGGGGGAUAACGUAGGGAAACUUACGCUAAUACCGCAUACGCCCUUCGGGGGAAAGCCGGGGAUCGCAAGACCUGGCGCGGAUAGAUGAGCCGAUGUCGGAUUAGCUAGUUGGUGAGGUAAUGGCUCACCAAGGCGACGAUCCGUAGCUGGUCUGAGAGGAUGAUCAGCCACACUGGAACUGAGACACGGUCCAGACUCCGUACGGGAGGCAGCAAGGUGGGGAAAUAGUUGGGAACAAGUGGG
rnacentral:rRNA from 1 species